CCGUUACACUGUCGAGGUGCCUCUCCCACAUCAUGCCUUCCAAACGCUCCCGGAUGAGCUGCGCCAGGGCAAGCCGCUGCGCGUGCUCCCCGUGCUCUUCAAUGUGGGCAUCAACGAGCAACAAACCAUCGCUGAGAGAUUUGGUGAUAUAUCUUUACAGGAGAGAAUAAACCAGAAGAACUUCGAGAUUCUUGAAGGUUACUAUAAAUCCUUAACCAACACGCUGCCAUCUGAAUGCCUGCCAUGUUUUCAGACACAGACAGACAUCAAGGAACUGCUCGACACCCUCGGCCAGAAUGUAGUCACCAAGAAGAGAAAGAACGUGGAGAUCCUGUGGCUUGCG